GGGUUGUGGCUCAGAGGUAGCAUGCUUGCCUGGCAUGCAUGGAGUGCUGGGUUCGAUCCUCAGCCCCA
rnacentral:tRNA from 1 species